GCAGCGUAGUGUGGGAAAUAAAUUUAGAUGUACUAAAAAAACACAAGCCCAUUGUAUGAGGAAAGAUAUGUAGUUAGAGAGCACAGGCCCAGUGUAUAUGGGAAAGGAGUGUAUCAAUGAGCACCAGCUGUCUCCCCCCUAACGUAUCAUCCGGCUAGCAAAGGAAGAAAGAUACAGGUGGACCAAGGUCGACCUAGGCAACAAAAUGUGGGAAAUAAAUACAAAUGUACUCAAAAAACACAAGCCCAUUGUAUGGGGAACCGGCAGCAGGGGAACGCUUCAUACUAAAUAGAUACAAUAAGAACAAACACGUAAUACACACAUAAUUUCUGCCCUGCUGACUAAGCUGUAUAAAGGCGCCUUUGUGAAACUAACGGAAGCUUCUGCCUUUUUUGGAAAAUGUGUUAUCAGAAUAUGUGACUUAUGAUAGAAGGGGGAGGGUGAGUUAGGCGGGAGACGAGCACUAGGGAGGGGCUGAUAAACAAUGGUGUCUGAGAAUUGGGUGUCACAUAAAAAUAAUGAUGUCAACAACAUUACGUAAUUAACAAAAUUAAAUGGGAAGUACUAGAUUUAAGCUACACAACAGGAGGAGUUAGAAAAAUGGAUAUAAGAGGCAGUUGGCCCGAGGGGUGUGUGUGUGUGCGCGCACAUGGUGUGUGUUUUGGGAAUGCUUGGAGAAUGAUCUGAUGUAUUGUCUUUACUUAUGAGUGAUUGAUAAUUGUACUGAACUGCGCAGAUCAGCCCGGGUUAUUUUAUGUAAUCUUUGAUUUACUAACAAUAAACCCAGUUGCAUCAUACUCUGAGAAGUGUGCAUCUUUUGAAGAAGCAUUCAACAGUGUGGAGGAGAGCGACCUCGGCGUUUCUGGCCCAGGCCGGGGCCCGCUUUCUCCCUCCCACAUUGAAUUGGCGAGCCAGCCAGGAGAGGCUCGAGGAAGCUGAACGCCUGGACGGAACUGCUGACUCUUGGGUUCAACAGUGGCCACAAAACAAUAAGGUAAGCAGAGCCUGUUUAUAAAAUCUGCAUGUACUGGUUGAAUCUAAGAGCAGUGCGUAUCUGCCCAGGCCUAAGUAAAUGCGAGGCCUCUCCUCCAAAGAAUCUAAAAACGACAGUAAAAAGCUAUGGUAAAAGGUGCCACCGAAGAAAGAACGAGCGACAUCGCCAAGGAUCUGAGAAAGAUACGCCCAGGAGACUGGGUGUAUAUCAAAACAUUCAAAAGAAAGUGGAGUGAACCCAGGCGUGAAGGACCAUUCAAAGUUGUCUUGGCAACUCCUACUGCACUUAAGGUUGAAGGUAAAACUGUGUGGUUCCACCUUAACUAUUGCUGUAGGGCACAAGGGCCAGAGCGCACAUUAGACGAGGUAAGGGGGGACUUACGGGGAAUAGAGGAGGAAGUAGAUGGGGAAGCAGGACAAGGACCCUCUGAGGAAAGGCAGGAUGAGGAAGGUGCACCUUCAGAGAGUAGGGAACCCUCAGGGGGUGGUGAAGCGUAGAGAAAGGCAAAAGCAAGGGAAGAGGGCGUGGAGAGCAGUAGUAAUAAGGCCCCUGUGGCUGUUGUUAAUAUGCCCGGUAAUAGCCGCAACAUCCAUCAAACAAGACAUCAGUAAAACUGCAAAGGGAAAAGGGCUAAAUGACAUACAGGCAGACCUACCAUUAAUGAUGGAAAAACACCUCACACCAUUAAGACAGUCCAACAUGUUUUACCAAUGGAUGGAAUAUUCUGCAAGGGAAGUAACUGAGGAAACAUGCAUCACAUGCUACAACCGCGGUACAAAAAGAACACCCCACGUGAAACCACUACCAUUUACACAAAGGGAAUGCAAAGGAACAGAAACUCAAAUAUGCCACUUGGAAUGUCUGCUGUACUACAUGGCAAAAGGACCAAAGCACCUAAAACCCGAGCCGCUUGAAAUAGAUGGGAAACGCAAACCAGCGGUGCCAAUACUGAACAGCGACACAAUGACUGAUGGCUAUGUGCGUACCGCGAGUGGAACGCGGUGGAUGAACAUAAGCAAAUGUCGAGACAUUCUUAUCCCUGUAGACGAGACAAUGGCAGAAAUGGUACCACCAGCUAUAGUAAACGAGGGGAUUGAGUUCCCAAUUUGCGUAGCUCAGAACCUUAUCCCACAAAUGGGACCCAGCGGACCUACUCUCCGGUACAGAUAUGCAGCAGACCCACAAGUCAACUGUGGUAAGUGGGACUGGAAAUCUAAUCGGGGUUGCACAACAUCGGAUGUGGCACCAAUCAAGUGCCGAGAGGUAGUUGGCAGCUAUGGAUACGUAUCCCGGCAGGUGGAUGCCACAGGAGCGAUACUGCAGGCUGUAAUCACUGUGCCAGACUUUACAGGGGGAACUCGCCCAUCAGCAGACGUAUAUUGGUACUGCGGUAAUGGUACAAAGCUUAGAGCCACUUUGAAACAAGGUUGGAAGGGUAUAUGCGCUCUGGUAGGUUUGACGGGGCGAUUGACCGUAAUGAAGCCACGAGAUCCAACAAGGAGAAUGAAAAGAGGAGUGAAAGAGUGGGUUGAAGACAGUGAGGUGAGCGUGAAUUGGGCCGGAAUACCUGUAAAUAUACCAAGGAGCCAUAGAAUACUAGGAUUAGACUCCUCUGAUAAUCUUAUAGCGUUUUUACCCUGGGUACAGAUAAAAAGAAACGUUGAAUGGAUCAACUAUUUAUGGUACAACCAGCAGAGAUUCAUUAAUCACACUGUAGCAGCUCUGCAAGGGAUAUCAGAACAGCUGCACGCCACCUCACUCAUGACAGUACAAAAUAGGCUAAUACUUGAUACAAUGUUAGCUGAGGAGCAGGGGGUGUGUGAGAGUAUUGGGGACGAAUGCUGUACAGUCAUUCCAAUGCACACAGGAAAAGGGGGUAAUAUAACAACUGCAUUAGAGGCAUUGGAAAAUUUAAGAAAUGAACAUGUAAAAAACACAAGGGGGGAAUCCAGAGAAGGGUCAUGGUGGGACUGGCUUAACAUGCCAUCAUGGAAAACGGCUUUGGUAAAGAUAGGGGUGGUCAUGGGGACAGUACUGUUGAUGUUGUUGUUUGCUACAUGCUGUGUGAUUCCUCUGAUACAGUCUAUGGUCAAGAGAAUGAUAGCUGCAGUGACUGGACAAUUCCCACUGGUUACUGAACCAGACUCGGAAGCCCUCCUCCCUGAACUGGUAGCUGAAGAAGGACCUAUGGUGGAGGAGGAACUGUCACCGAGGGGGGAAGAACCACUGCAUGAGAUUCAAUAUGGUACAGGGGAAGGGGGAUGUUUUGUUGUAAUUGUCUUUCAAACAGGACCGAACGAGUAUUGCGAUCAACAAGGAAACCCGGUGAACGCCAGAGGUGGACCCUUGGACUGUCCGUUCGGAAACCCACUGUGCGAAUGGGGAGUGAGAGCAGGUGCCGGAUGGGAGUGUUGGGACCACCACCCACAAGCCGCUCGCGUGGUCAGGGAUCCCCAGUUCUGGGACGCCUAUGCCAGAGAGAUCUGGGGCAUAGGUCCCGGGGACGAGGGGGAUGGCCUGCCCGAUGAAGAAUAAAAGAAACUCCAGUCACUGUGCAUCGAAUGUGCUAGCAACCUCUCCACAGUGAUGACCCUCUACGGUAUGUAAAGCACCUGGGUUGAAGAAACAUGCUUUGACCAAACACUUCACAAGAUGACACAAGAACACACCAAUAGCAAAAGUAUCUGAGUGAUGUGCUAGUAACCUCUCCUCAGUAUACAAAGUGCCAGACUACAGCUCGCAAAGAGCUAAACUGGACGAAGUAGAUGACCAGGCCACGGAAAAAGGGAAACAAACGGGGAACUGCAAUCAAGAUAUCAACAUAGCUGAGCACAUAUGGACUGAUUGAUCAAGAAGAAAACCGACCAGAAUCAUGAUAAAAAGAUCCAUGUGACCAUUUUAUAUAAUUGUGUAAUUAUAAGCACAUGUAACCCGUGGCUGAUCUUAUUACAAGUAUAUUCAGGCUUGAGCACGCAGUAUGUAUGUAAAAUAUGUGUUAGAGGGGAGGAUCAGGGCUCACUGAAUUUUGUUGUGAAAACACUAACCACGCUUUGCCCCACUGAUGUUGUCUAGGCACCCCAGGCGGCACAGAAAGACUUCUAUCCACCAGCAUCAGCAGCGGUAUCCGUGUGGGCGGGGGCCACACAAUACACGUCCAAGAACACCUUAAGGGCGGUGAAGGGGGCUUACCCAAAAAGCACGCAGCAUUGCUAUGGGAGUCUGACGGUGGAUGCAGGGGUGUGUCUGACAGGACGACAGCUGGGUAAAUCGGUUUACUGGUGGUAUACAUGAAGCAACAGAAAGGCCGUAUAAGGAGUCUGUUGAAUUGUUUAUUUCUCAACAAAGCAGUGAGGACUGAAUACACUCCAGUAGAUAAAGAAUACACAUGCUAAUUGUAUGGUUAUUGAACAUAUGCAUUUAUAUAAAUAUAUAACCAUCACUAACAGUUCCAGAAAGAAGGGAAAGUGAAAUGACAAGAACGGUAAGGGACAGAGGCAUUGAGUGGCUUUUACCCACUCCCAGCCAAUUGGGGAGGGGAUGUUUACCACCAAUGUCUUGCUCUGCUGUUAGGUCUCCCUCCAGGUGACAGUCAUCUUUUGAUGAUCGCUAAAGCCUGAGACAGUGUUUUGCUGUCAGGCCGGACGGAGUCUGACAACAGAUCUUAGGGAAAGCUACCAAGUAUAAACACUAACACAUGUACCAGAGUCAUAUUAAGUAAAAUGCUGGAAAACGCAAGAAUCCUGAUGCAGGAGGGUGAUAGAUGAAUGUGAUCAGACCAAACAUGGAGUGUGCCACAAGGGCUACUCUCACGGGCUGUCAUGUAGGGGGCGGCACAUAUGGUGCCCCGCAGUCUCUGCAUUGAUGUUAAAGCUAUGUAUUGGUCAAUUUAGUCCGCAUUUAGUUAUGUUCCUACACCAAGUUGUCUGCACUGCUUAUUUUACAAGUAAUCACAAUAGAUAUGGAACUUAGAAGUUCCAAAGGGGGGAAUGUGGGAAAUAAAUUUAGAUGUACUAAAAAAACACAACCCCAUUGUAUGAGGAAAGAUAUGUAGUUAGAGAGCACAGGCCCAGUGUAUAUGGGAAAGGAGUGUAUCAAUGAGCACCAGCUGUCUCCCCCCUAACGUAUCAUCCGGCUAGCAAAGGAAGAAAGAUACAGGUGGACCAAGGUCGACCUAGGCAACAAAAUGUGGGAAAUAAAUACAAAUGUACUCAAAAAACACAAGCCCAUUGUAUGGGGAACCGGCAGCAGGGGAACGCUUCAUACUAAAUAGAUACAAUAAGAACAAACACGUAAUACACACAUAAUUUCUGCCCUGCUGACUAAGCUGUAUAAAGGCGCCUUUGUGAAACUAA